rnacentral:rRNA from 1 species
UACAGAGGGUGCAAGCGUUGUUCGGAAUCACUGGGCGUAAAGCGCACGUAGGCGGAUGUGUCAGUCAGGGGUGAAAUCCCGGGGCUCAACCUCGGAACUGCCUUUGAUACAGCACGUCUUGAGUCCGAUAGAGGUGGGUGGAAUUCCUAGUGUAGAGGUGAAAUUCGUAGAUAUUAGGAAGAACACCGGUGGCGAAGGCGGCCCACUGGAUCGGUACUGACGCUGAGGUGCGAAAGCGUGGGGAGCAAACAGG